ACGAACGCUGGCGGCGUGCUUAACACAUGCAAGUCGAACGGUGAAGCGCCUUCCUUUUUGGUGGGUGUGGAUGAGUGGCGAACGGGUGAGUAACACGUGAGUAACCUGCCCCCUUCUUCUGGAUAACCGCAUGAAAGUGUGGCUAAUACGGGAUAUUCUGGGUCUGUCGCAUGAUGGGUCUGGGAAAGAUAUUGUUUCGGUGGGGGAUGGGCUCGCGGCCUAUCAGCUUGUUGGUGGGGUGAUGGCCUACCAAGGCGGUGACGGGUAGCCGGCCUGAGAGGGUGGACGGUCACACUGGGACUGAGACACGGCCCAGACUCCUGCGGGAGGCAGCAGUGGGGAAUAUUGCACAAUGGGCGCAAGCCUGAUGCAGCGACGCCGCGUGAGGGAUGGAGGCCUUCGGGUUGUGAACCUCUUUCGCCAGUGAAGCAGGCCUGCCUCGUUUGUGGGUGGGUUGACGGUAGCUGGAUAAGAAGCGCCGGCUAACUACGUG
rnacentral:rRNA from 1 species